UCCGACUUAUCAUCGGCAGUCUCCCUAGAGUUCCCGGCCGAACCGCUGGUAACUAGGGACAAGGGUUGCGCUCGUUGCGGGACUUAACCCAACAUCUCACGACACGAGCUGACGACAGCCAUGCAACACCUGUCUCCAGGUCCCCGAAGGGAAGACCUAUUUUCAUAGGCUGUCCUGGGAUGUCAAGCCUGGGUAAGGUUCUUCGCGUUGCCUCGAAUUGAACCACAUGCUCCACCGCUUGUGCGGGCCCCCGUCAAUUCCUUUGAGUUUCACCCUUGCGAGCGUACUCCCCAGGCGGUGCGCUUAAUGCGUUAGCUGCGGCACAGAAGGGGUCGAUACCUCCUACACCUAGCGCACAACGUUUACGGCGUGGACUAC
rnacentral:misc_RNA from 1 species